UACGUAGGGUGCAGGCGUUAAUCGGAAUUACUGGGCGUAAAGCGUGCGCAGGCGGUCUCUUAAGACAGGUGUGAAAUCCCCGGGCUUAACCUGGGAACUGCGCUUGUAACUGAGAGGCUUGAGUGUGCCAGAGGGGGGGUGGAAUUCCACGUGUAGCAGUGAAAUGCGCAGAUAUCAGGAGGAACACCGGUGGCGAAGGCGGAAUCUCUGGGCCUUACCUGACGCUCGAGGUGCGAAAGCUAGGGGAGCAAACGGGA
rnacentral:rRNA from 1 species